GGGCCCGCACAAGCAGCGGAGCAUGUGGUUUAAUUCGACGCAACGCGAAGAACCUUACCAUGACUUGACAUCCAAAGAAUUCGGUAGAAAUACUGAAGUGCCCCGUAAGGGGAGCUUUGAGACAGGUGGUGCAUGGUUGUCGUCAGCUCGUGUCGUGAGAUGUUAGGUUAAGUCCUGCAACGAGCGCAACCCUUGUUGUUAGUUGCUAACAUUCAGUUGAGCACUCUAACAAGACUGCCGAGGUUAACUCGGAGGAAGGUGGGGAUGACGUCAAAUCAUCAUGCCCUUUAUGUCAUGGGCUACACACGUGCUACAAUGGCCGUUACAGAGAGAUGCAAGACCGCAAGGUGGAGCCAAUCUCAAAAACCGGUCCCAGUUCGGAUUGUAGGCUGCAACUCGCCUACAUGAAGCUGGAGUUGCUAGUAAUCGCGAAUCAGCAUGUCGCGGUGAAUACGUUCCCGGGCCUU
rnacentral:rRNA from 1 species